CGCUCGUAGUCGGAUUUCGGGGCGUGCGAGCCGGUCUGCCGCUGGGUAUGCACUGGCUGUGCGCGUCCUUUCUUUCGGAGCUCUCUGCUGCUCUUAGCUGAGCGGUGGAGGGAGACGGAUCGUUUACUUUGAAAAAAUCAGAGUGUUUCAAGCAGGCAGCUCGCUCUUGCAUGGAUUAGCAUGGGAUAAUGAAAUAGGACUCUGGUGCUAUUUUGUUGGUUUCGAACACCGGAGUAAUGAUUAACAGGGACAGUCAGGGGCACUCGUAUUCCGCCGAGAGAGGUGAAAUUCUCAGACCAGCGGAAGACGAACCACUGCGAAAGCAUUUGCCAGGGAUGUUUUCACUGAUCAAGAACGAAAGUUAGGGGAUCGAAGACGAUCAGAUACCGUCGUAGUCUUAACCAUAAACCAUGCCGACUAGGGAUUGGGGGCUGUUCCAUUUGUGACUCCCUCAGCACCUUUCGGGAAACUAAAGUCUUUGGGUUCCGGGGGGAGUAUGGUCGCAAGGCUGAAACUUAAAGGAAUUGACGGAAGGGCACCACCAGGAGUGGAGCCUGCGGCUUAAUUUGACUCAACACGGGGAAACUUACCAGGUCCAGACAUUGUGAGGAUUGACAGAUUGAGAGCUCUUUCUUGAUUCGAU
rnacentral:rRNA from 1 species